GGUUGUGGCUCAGCGGUAGAGCGCUCGCCUAGCAUGUGCAAGACCCUGGGUUUGAUCCUCAGCACCA
rnacentral:tRNA from 1 species